AGCGAACGCUGGCGGCAGGCCUAACACAUGCAAGUCGAACGAAGUCUUCGGACUUAGUGGCGGACGGGUGAGUAACACGUGGGAACGUGCCUUUAGGUUCGGAAUAACUCAGGGAAACUUGUGCUAAUACCGAAUGUGCCCUUCGGGGGAAAGAUUUGUCGCCUUUAGAGCGGCCCGCGUCUGAUUAGCUAGUUGGUGAGGUAAAGGCUCACCAAGGCUACGAUCAGUCGCUGGUCUGAGAGGAUGACCAGCCACAUUGGGACUGAGACACGGCGCAAACUCCUACGGGAGGCAGCAGUGGGGAGUCUUGCGCAAUGGGCGAAAGCCUGACGCAGGCAUGCCGCGUGGAUGAUGAAGGUCGUAGGAUUGUAAAAUCCUUUCACCGGUGGAGAUAAUGACUGUAGCCGGAGAAGAAGCCCCGGCUAACUUCGUGCCAGCAGCCGCCGCGGUAA
rnacentral:rRNA from 1 species